AUACGUAGGGGGCAGGCGUUAUCCGGAAUCAUUGGGCGUAAAGGGUGCGUAGGCGGCCCUAUAGGUCAGAGGUCAAAGGCUACGGCUCAACCGUAGUAAGCCUUUGAAACUGUAGGGCUUGAGUGCAGGAGAGGAGAGUGGAAUUCCUAGUGUAGCGGUGAAAUGCGUAGAUAUUAGGAGGAACACCAGUGGCGAAGGCGACUCUCUGGACUGCAACUGACGCUGAGGCACGAAAGCGUGGGGAGCGAACAGGAUUAGAUACCCUGGUAGUCCACGCCGUAAACGAUGAGUGCUAGGUGUCGGGGGUCGAACCUCGGUGCCGCAGUUAACGCAUUAAGCACUCCGCCUGGGGAGUACGUACGCAAGUAUGAAACUUAAAGGAAUUGACGGGG
rnacentral:rRNA from 1 species